GAUGUAAACAAACUGUUUGUAAACAAACGAGCAACAACCACACAGCUGGCAGGAUAAUCCCAUAAAGGUCUUCUGUCUGAGUCUGAGGGCAGCACACACACACACACACACACACACACACACACACACACACACACUAACAGAGCUUAAAUCAGAGCAGGGUGGGGGACACCAGAGGACAGGCAGCUUCUGACCGACUGACCCAGUUAGAAGCUGCUGCAGCUCGGUUCUAAUGGGAGACAAGGUGAGUCCUGAACAGUCUCAUCAUAUGUAAACAAUAAACACAAAACAAUUCAAAGGAUAAACAACAAAUAAUCUGCUUCAAACAUGCCUCCUUAGUGGAACAUGUUCUUAUUUCAGGUYCAGACAAACAGCUUUGCCCCGCGGUGCCGGUCCUAAAUUUGGAAGGAGUCUGGUCCGGCACACAUCCCUGUUGCCAGGCAACGCUGGCUUACUGAUCCGUAUUAGAACACAGCAGCAUAUGUGUUCCUGUGUGUGUGUGUGUGUGUGUGUGUGUGUGUGUGUGUGUGUGUGUGUGUGUGUGUCUACCUUUAUGAUUUUGACAAUCUUCUAUCCUUGUGAGGACGUUUUACAUGGUCAGGUUAGUGUGUGAGCAGGUUUGGACAUCAGCAGUCUGCUGGAAUAAUGCUCUCCUGAGCUGUAACCAUGUGUUUUUAUUAAAGCCCAACAACAUGAAACAACAGACACUAGUACAACAACUGUAAUACUGUAGUAAUAUUAGUAUAACAACUGUAAUGCAGUAGUAAUAUUAGUACAACUGUAAUACUGUAGUAAUAUUACUGUAAUAAAUGUGGAUCACAGGAAGAAAAGUCUCUACUGUACUAUAGUAAAAACUAAUGUGGAUUCUUCAAUAAAUUAACAUAACACUGGUUACCACAACAGCCACUCUACAACUAUUACAGACACUCUACCAUAUUAUAACAGCUGCUCUACAAUGAUUACAGCGGCUCUAUGGUUAUUACAGCUGCUCUACAAUUAUAAAAGCUGUCCUACAGUUAUAUAGCUACUCUAUGGUUAUUACAGAAUCUUAACAGUUAUAACAGCUGCUCUAUGGUUAUUACAAACACUCCAUGUUAUUACAGCCACUCUACGGUUAUUACAGACUUGCUACGGUUAUUACAUAAUUAUUACAGCUGCUCUAUGGUUUUUUCAGACACUAUGCUGUUAUAACAGCUGCUCUACAAUUAUUGCAGCUGCUCUAAAAUUAUAAAAGCUAUAAUCAGCUAUAACAGCUGCUCUACGGUUAUUACAGAUACUCUACCAUUAUAACAGCUGCUCUACAAUUAUUGUAGCUGCUCUAAAAUUAUAAAAUCUGUGCUCAGUUUAACAGCUGCUCUACAAUUAAAAAAGCUGUCCUACAGUUAUAUAGCUACUCUAUGGUUAUUGCAGAAUCUUAACAGUUAUAACAGCUGCUCUAUGGUUAUUACAAACACUCUACAGUUAUUACAGCCACUCCACGUUAUUACAGACUUGCUACGGUUAUUACAGACUUGCUACGGUUAUUACACAAUUAUUACAGCUGCUCUACGGGUAUUACAGUAUCUUUAGUUAUAACAGAUGCUCUAAGGUUGUUAUAGCAGCUCUAUAGUUUUAACAGCUGCUCUACAACUUUUACAAUCACUCUACAGGUAUUAUAGAUAUCGUACAGUUACAACAGCUGCUCUAAGGUUAUUGCAGUGGCUCUACAACUAUAACAGCCGCUCCACAAAAACAACAGCUGCUCUACAAGUAUUACAGCCACCCUACGGUUAUAACAGAUGCUGUAGUUAUAACAGCUACUCUAAGGUUAUUAGAGCAGCUCUACAGUAAUAACAGCUGCUCCAUGGGUAUUACAGCUUCUCUUCUUAGGUUAUAACAGCUGCUCUACAAGUAUUACAGCCACUCUAUGGGUAUUACAGCUGCACUGUGGUUUUAAACCUAUAUUAUGUUUUUUCCAGUUUGAAUGCAGCUGGAGACUCAAUUUGUUGCUUUAUCACACUUCUGUUUUUAAUAAUCUAAUUAAAAAAAACAUGAAACAUUUUCCUGCAGAGAUCCAGAACUAAUUAUUAACAACCCAAUCAGUGCUACAGUUGUUUUUAUUGAGUCUUAAAAUGACACAGAACUGACUUGGUUUGUUGGGAUGUGAAAGUUAAACUCUGCUCUUUGGAAACUCCAAACGAACCACAUCAGUUCAGUUUUUACUGAUGUCAUGACGUUUAACCUUCCAGAUCCUGGGGUUUUAGUCACGAGCUGAUGUCUUUCCACCUUGGAUCAGUGCAAACACACACCUGUCUGCUACAGAGCCUCGCUUAGUUUUAGUCAAAACAAGACAAUGUUUAGUUGUUUGUCUUAAUGUUGUAUUAAACUCAAUCAUACAGCAGAUCAGUA